rnacentral:lncRNA from 1 species
UAUUAGAAUCCGAUGGGACCACCAUUGUAUAUGUGGUCUGCCAUUGGCUGAAGCAUCAUUAUUUGGUGCAUGACUGUAGAACUUUAAGCAAUGAUGAAAAUGCUCUAUAUCCACACUAUCCAAUAUGGUUCUGCUUGAAUUCUUGCCCUGGCUCUUGGUGAAGGAUCGGCCUGCUGGAUCUGAGUCAUCCACCUAUAAGAGGGACAACACCACACAUUGGUCGCUGCUCUCAAGCCCCUGGAAUACCACCCCACUUGGCUUCUCCUGAUACCACCCACAUAAACAAAAACUUUUUGGGAGUCCUCCAGAAUUUUUAAGAGUUAUCUAAACUAUUGCCUUUAAUGACCAGGAACUCCAAUUUGAGAAGUUACCCUACGUUAAGCCAACAGCAGCCUGGCUCCUUCAUCCUGUGCAGUAUGGGACAGAGCUGGGUCCUUGUUGUCAUCAGCCAGACAAGCACACAUUAAAGCCCACCUUAGCCAUUGGCAUUACAGCUUUAAAAGCAGCUCCAUCCUACCAUGCUGUCACUCUACUCAAUCACGUGAUCUUAACGACCAGCUCUACAUAUCCUCUCUCCAUGCCCCCACCACCAUCCCCCACCAACAAAUCCGGUAAUCUAUCUCUGUCAAUAGUCCUGCAGUGAAUUCCGAAUAAGUUUUUCUCUUCCCUGGCCUGCCGUUUACGUAGUACCCUGGAUGAAUCUAUACUUACU